rnacentral:rRNA from 1 species
GGACGAACGCUGGCGGCGUGCCUAAUACAUGCAAGUCGAACGAGCUCUCCCAAAUUGAUUUUAUGCUUGCAUAAAUGAUUUUUGGAUUCGGAGCGAGUGGCGAACUGGUGAGUAACACGUGGGUAACCUACCCCGAAGCGGGGGAUAACAUUUGGAAACAAGUGCUAAUACCGCAUAAUUAGUUGGAACCGCAUGGUUCCAACUUGAAAGAUGGCUCUGCUAUCACUUUGGGAUGGACCCGCGCCGUAUUAGUUAGUUGGUGAGAUAAAAGCCCACCAAGACGAUGAUACGUAGCCGACCUGAGAGGGUAAUCGGCCACAUUGGGACUGAGACACGGCCCAGACUCCUACGGGAGGCAGCAGUAGGGAAUCUUCCACAAUGGACGAAAGUCUGAUGGAGCAACGCCGCGUGAGUGAUGAAGGUUUUCGGAUCGUAAAACUCUGUUGUUAAAGAAGAACAAGUGUUAGAGUAACUGUUAACACUUUGACGGUAUUUAACCAGAAAGCCACGGCUAACUACGUGCCAGCAGCCGCGGUAAUACGUAGGUGGCAAGCGUUGUCCGGAUUUAUUGGGCGUAAAGCGAGCGCAGGCGGUUUUGUAAGUCUGCUGUGAAAGCCCUCAGCUCAACUGAGGAAGUGCAGUGGAAACUACAAAACUUGAGUACAGAAGAGGAAAGUGGAACUCCAUGUGUAGCGGUGAAAUGCGUAGAUAUAUGGGAAGAACACCAGUGGCGAAGGCGGCUUUCUGGUCUGUUACUGACGCUGAGGCUCGAAAGCAUGGGUAGCGAACAGGAUUAGAUACCCUGGUAGUCCAUGCCGUAAACGAUGAAUACUAGGUGUUGGAGGGUUUCCGCCCUUCAGUGCCGCAGCUAACGCAUUAAGUAUUCCGCCUGGGGAGUACGACCGCAAGGUUGAAACUCAAAGGAAUUGACGGGGGCCCGCACAAGUGGUGGAGCAUGUGGUUUAAUUCGAUGCUACGCGAAGAACCUUACCAGCUCUUGACAUCUUCUGCCAACCCAAGAGAUUGGGCGUUCCCUUCGGGGACAGAAUGACAGGUGGUGCAUGGUUGUCGUCAGCUCGUGUCGUGAGAUGUUGGGUUAAGUCCCGCAACGAGCGCAACCCUUAUUAUUAGUUGCCAGCAUUUAGUUGGGCACUCUAGUGAGACUGCCGGUGAUAAACCGGAGGAAGGUGGGGACGACGUCAAAUCAUCAUGCCCCUUAUGAGCUGGGCUACACACGUGCUACAAUGGAUGGUACAACGAGUCGCGAAACCGCGAGGUCAAGCUAAUCUCUUAAAGCCAUUCUCAGUUCGGAUUGCAGGCUGCAACUCGCCUGCAUGAAGUUGGAAUCACUAGUAAUCGUGGAUCAGCAUGCCACGGUGAAUACGUUCCCGGGCCUUGUACACACCGCC